rnacentral:rRNA from 1 species
UCGAACGAUGAACUUGGAGCUUGCUCUGGGGGAUUAGUGGCGAACGGGUGAGUAACACGUGAGUAACCUGCCCUGGACUCUGGGAUAACUUCGAGAAAUCGGAGCUAAUACCGGAUAGGACCUUGCACCGCAUGGUGUGGGGUGGAAAGUUUUUCGGUUUGGGAUGGACUCGCGGCCUAUCAGCUUGUUGGUGAGGUAAUGGCUCACCAAGGCGUCGACGGGUAGCCGGCCUGAGAGGGUGACCGGCCACACUGGGACUGAGACACGGCCCAGACUCCUACGGGAGGCAGCAGUGGGGAAUAUUGCACAAUGGGCGCAAGCCUGAUGCAGCAACGCCGCGUGCGGGAUGACGGCCUUCGGGUUGUAAACCGCUUUUAGUAGGGAAGAAGCCUUCGGGUGACGGUACCUGCAGAAAAAGGACCGGCUAACUACGUGCCAGCAGCCGCGGUAAUACGUAGGGUCCGAGCGUUGUCCGGAAUUAUUGGGCGUAAAGAGCUCGUAGGCGGUUUGUCGCGUCUGCUGUGAAAACUAGAGGCUCAACCUCUAGCCUGCAGUGGGUACGGGCAGACUUGAGUGGUGUAGGGGAGACUGGAAUUCCUGGUGUAGCGGUGGAAUGCGCAGAUAUCAGGAGGAACACCGAUGGCGAAGGCAGGUCUCUGGGCACUUACUGACGCUGAGGAGCGAAAGCGUGGGGAGCGAACAGGAUUAGAUACCCUGGUAGUCCACGCCG